rnacentral:rRNA from 1 species
ACUCAAAGGAAUAGACGGGGGCCCGCACAAGCAGUGGAGUAUGUGGUUUAAUUCGAAGCAACGCGAAGAACCUUACCGGGGCUUGACAUGGGGACGCUCGGCGUAGAGAUACGCCUUUCUUCGGACGUCCCACACAGGUGGUGCAUGGUUGUCGUCAGCUCGUGUCGUGAGAUGUUGGGUUAAGUCCCGCAACGAGCGCAACCCCUAUUAUUAGUUGCUACAUUUAGUUGAGCACUCUAAUGAGACUGCCGUUGACAAAACGGAGGAAGGUGGGGACGACGUCAAAUCAUCAUGCCCCUUAUGUCCCGGGCUACACACGUACUACAAUGGCGUUUAACAACGGGAAGCGAAGCCGCGAGGCGGAGCAAAACCCAAAAAGGCGCCUCAGUUCGGAUUGCAGGCUGCAACUCGCCUGCAUGAAGUCGGAAUUGCUAGUAAUCGCGAAUCAGCAUGUCGCGGUGAAUACGUUCCCGGGCCUUGCACACACCGCCCGU